rnacentral:rRNA from 1 species
UACGGGGGGUGCGAGCGUUGUCCGGAAUCACUGGGCGUAAAGGGCGCGUAGGUGGUUUGAUAAGGGUGUGGUGAAAGUCCGGGGCUCAACCCCGGAUCUGCCGUGCCGACUGUCAAACUCGAGGGCUGUAGAGGCAGACGGAAUUCCGGGUGUAGCGGUGGAAUGCGUAGAGAUGCGGCGGAACACCGAUGGCGAAGGCAGCCCCCUGGGCUGAGAUUGACGCUCAGGCACGAAAGCGUGGGGAGCAAACAGG